rnacentral:lncRNA from 1 species
GCUGAUCAAGCAACAGAGAAUUAGCAUUGGUUAAUUUAUUCAACUCGAAUUACAUAUUUUCAUACUUGCACCUCACAUGCUAACAAAAGCCAGAGCAUACCUGGUUACAUCAACACACAAUGAGAAAAUGAGCAGAAGUUUAAGAAGAAACAAUAGCAUCAGAUCUGAUUCAGUAAAUCAACAACAAAACAAACAUGAAAACCAAUUUCUGACUCGAAAAAUAACCCCAUAAAUCCUUUGUAACUUUCAGAUAAUAGAACCAACAAGAAAACUGGACCAAUUUCCAACAGGAAUGACAAUGUAUUUCAGUGUUUUGAAGACUCAGCCAUUUUCAAUUUUUUCAGGAUUUUAA